UACGUAGGGGGCAAGCGUUGUCCGGAAUCAUUGGGCGUAAAGCGCGUGUAGGCGGUCCGGUAAGUCCGCUGUGAAAGUCGGGGGCUCAACCCUCGGAUGCCGGUGGAUACUGUCGGGUUUGAGUACGGAAGAGGCGAGUGGAAUUCCUGGUGUAGCGGUGGAAUGCGUAGAUAUCUGGAGGAACACCGGUGGCGAAGGCGGCAUCCUGGACCGGUAUUGACGCGUGAUGAGCGAAAGCCAGGGAGCAA
rnacentral:rRNA from 1 species